rnacentral:rRNA from 1 species
UGGGGAAUUUUUGGACAAUGGGGGAAACCCUGAUCCAGCCAUGCCGCGUGAGUGAAGAAGGCCUUCGGGUUGUAAAGACUCUUUCUAGCCGGAACGAAACGGUCACGGUUAAUACCCGUGACUACUGACGGUACCGGAAGAAGAAGCACCGGCUAACUACGUGCCAGCAGCCGCGGUAAUACGUAGGGUGCGAGCGUUAAUCGGAAUUACUGGGCGUAAAGCGUGCGCAGGCGGUUUUGUAAGUCAGAUGUGAAAUCCCCGGGCUUAACCUGGGAACUGCGUUUGAAACUACAAGGCUAGAGUGUGGCAGAGGGGGGGUGGAAUUCCACGUGUAGCAGUGAAAUGCGUAGAGAUGUGGAGGAACACCGAUGGCGAAGGCAGCCCCCCUGGGUUAACACUGACGCUCAGGCACGAAAGCGUGGGGAGCAAACAGGAUUAGAUACCCCUGGGUAUCCACGCCCUAAACGAUGUCAACUAGUUGUCGGGUCUUAACGGACUUGGUAACGCAGCUAACGCGUGAAGUUGACCGCCUGGGGG